rnacentral:rRNA from 1 species
GGGCUUGACAUCCCACGAACCUGCCUGAGAGGGCGGGGUGCCCGCAAGGGAGCGUGGAGACAGGUGGUGCAUGGCUGUCGUCAGCUCGUGUCGUGAGAUGUUGGGUUAAGUCCCGCAACGAGCGCAACCCUCACCCCUAGUUGCCACCGGAUAAUGCCGAGCACUCGAGGGGAACUGCCAGCGUCAAGCUGGAGGAAGGCGGGGAUGACGUCAAGUCAUCAUGCCCCUUACGUCCUGGGCUACACACGUGCUACAAUGGCCAGUACAAAGGGAUGCGAGACCGUAAGAUGGAGCUAAUCCCAAAAAGCUGGUCUAAGUUCAGAUUGCAGUCUGCAACUCGACUGCAUGAAGGAGGAAUCGCUAGUAAUCGCGCAUCAGCACGGCGCGGUGAAUACGUUCCCGGGCCUUGUACACACCGCCCGUCACACCACGAAAGUUGGCUGUACUCGAAGUCGCUGAG